UUGUAAGUACAACUUUAAGCAGCAUUUUGAUUUUGAUGGCCUUUGUUCAUUUUAGAAGUGUAUUAUUUAUUAUUGGUGGACAGUAUUUUUAUUACAAUUAAAAAUGAACUACUAAUAUUUAUUCUAUCAAUUAACUGCGAUGGAUUUGAACGGAGAAGAGUGUGGAAGCCACAGUGGAUUCAGUCCAGUUCAGAUGCAGCCAGACUACUCAAUGCCCUAUUCACAACAUCAAGGACCAUACAUGGACAACUGUGAUUGGCCAAUCCAUGAACCAGAUCAACAUCAAGUCACCAUUGAAGAUAAGUAUCACAUCCAACUCAAUGUGGAUAAUCAAAGUGUAUACUUGGACCACAAUUACUCCAAACAUCCCAUUGAAAUAAUUCGGAUCAAACCAGAGGAACUAAUUGAAGAAGAUGAAACAGGAGAAGAAGAACAACUACAAUGUGGAGUAGAAAUUGGAGUGAGAAGUGGAGAAAUAAAGCAAGAGAGUGACACCUGUCUGCAGAUUGAAAGCAUCUAUUCUCUCUCCUCAGAUAGACUGGAUUCUGACACCUCAGUUAUAGAACAAAUAAAAUUUGAAACUGGGGAAAUUAAGGAGGAACAACAAUCUUUUGAAACAGACCAUUCAGAUGCAUUGAUGCAAACUGAAGGUUUUUCUUCUCAUGUAGUAUCUGAAAAUUAUGAAAGUGAAAAUGAGUCAUCUGGAUUGUGUCUACCAUACUUUGAGGAACAGGGAGGUUCUGGCUCCAAUAGGUCUAUUGUUGCAACUCCUGGGAAUAAUAUGAUGGAAGAUUCUGAAGAAGAGUGUAAUGAGGUGGACUUACUAAUAAAAAAUGCAAGGAAGAAUGUGAUUGAUGCAGCAAGUUACAGAGAUUCAACAAAGUGUCAGUUGUGUGGUGAAUCAUUCAGCAACACUAGAGAAUUGAAUCUUCAUUGCAGAAUACACACAUCUGGAAAACAUGCUUGCAAAUUCUGUGACUAUAAAGCAACAAAAAAAUCAAAUCUCAUCACUCAUCUAAGGACACACACGGGAGAAAGACCCUUCAGCUGUCAUUUGUGUGACUACAAAGCAAAACUAAAAUCACAUCUCAUCAAACAUCUAAGGACACACACAGGAGAAAGACCCUUCAGCUGUGAUUUGUGUGACUGUAAAACAACACAAAAAUCAAAUCUCAUCACUCAUCUAAGGACACACACGGGAGAUAGACCCUUCAGCUGUGAUUUGUGUGACUAUAAAACAACACGAAAAUCAGAUCUCAUCACUCAUCUAAGGACACACACAGGAGAAAGACCCUUCAGCUGUGAUUUGUGUGAUUACAAAGCAACAGAAAAAUCAGCACUCACUGUACAUCUAAAGACACAUACAGGAGAUAGACCCUUCAGCUGUCAUUUGUGUGACUACAAAGCAAAGUGGAAAUCACACCUCAUCUCUCAUCUAAAGUCACACAUGGGAGAAAGACCCUUCAGCUGUGAUUUCUGUGACUACAAAGCAACACAGAAAUCACAUCUCAUCACUCAUCUAAGGACACACACAGGAGAAAGACCCUUCAGCUGUGAUUUGUGUGACUACAAAGCAACACAGAAAUCACAUCUCAUCACUCAUCUAAAGUCACACACAGGAGAGAAAGACCAUUCAGCUGUGAUCUCUGUGAUAGCACAACAACACAGAAAUCAACUAUCAGUAGACAUCUAGAGACACACACUGGAUGAGGCCCUCCAGCUGAUAUUUCUGUGAAUACAAAGCAACACAGAAAUCACAUCUCAUCACUUAUCUAGAGACAUACACAGGGAAAAGAUGCUGAUCACAGUUCAAUAGCACUGCCCCAUUUUCUCUUCAUGUGCCUGUCUCUGGCUACCUUUCUCUUCAUGUGCCUGUCAUUGGCUACCUCUCUUCAAGCACCUGUCAUUGGCUACCUCUCUUCAUGUGCCUGUCGUUGGCUACCUCUCUUCAUGUGCCUGUCAUUGGUCACCUCUCUUCAUGUGCCUG
rnacentral:misc_RNA from 1 species